rnacentral:rRNA from 1 species
CGAAAGCCUGACGGAGCAAUACCGCGUGAGGGAGGAAGGCUCUUGGGUUGUAAACCUCAAAACUUAGGGAAGAAAAAAAUGACGGUACCUAAUUUAAGCAUCGGCUAACUCCGUGCCAGCAGCCGCGGUAAUACGGAGGAUGCAAGCGUUAUCCGGAAUUAUUGGGCGUAACGCGUCCGUAGGCGGUUUAUCAAGUCUGUCGUUAAAGCAUGGAGCUUAACUCCAUAAAGGCAGUGGAAACUGGUGAACUUGAGUUCGGUAGGGGUAGCGGGAAUUCCCAGUGUAGCGGUGAAAUGCGUAGAUAUUGGGAAGAACAUCGGUGGCGAAAGCGCGCUACUGGGCCGAAACUGACACUGAGGGACGAAAGCUAGGGUAGCG